rnacentral:rRNA from 1 species
AUUGAACGCUGGCGGCAGGCCUAACACAUGCAAGUCGAGCGGCAGCGGGAAAGUAGCUUGCUACUUUUGCCGGCGAGUGGCGGACGGGUGAGUAAUGCCUGGGAAAUUGCCCAGUCGAGGGGGAUAACAGUCGGAAACGACUGCUAAUACCGCAUACGCCCUACGGGGGAAAGCAGGGGACGUGCGGGCCUUGCGCGAGUGGAUAUGCCCGGGGGGGCUUGGCGAGUUGGUGAGGUAAUGGCUCACCAAGGCGACGAUCCCUAGCUGGUCUGAAAGGAUGAUCAGCCACACUGGAACUGAGACACGGUCCAGACUCCUACGGGAGGCAGCAGUGGGGAAUAUUGCACAAUGGGGGAAACCCUGAUGCAGCCAUGCCGCGUGUGUGAAGAAGGCCUUCGGGUUGUAAAGCACUUUCAGCGAGGAGGAAAGGUUGAUGCCUAAUACGUAUCAACUGUGACGUUACUCGCAGAAGAAGCACCGGCUAACUCCGUGCCAGCCGCCGCCGUAAGAC